rnacentral:rRNA from 1 species
GACGAACCGUGCGAACGUUGUUCGGAUUCACUGGGCUUAAAGGGCGCGUAGGCGGGUUACCAAGUCAGGGGUGAAAUCUUUCGGCUCAACCGGAAAAGUGCCCCUGAUACUGGUAGUCUUGAGGGAGGUAGGGGCAUGUGGAACUUCCGGUGGAGCGGUGAAAUGCGUAGAUAUCAGGAGGAACACCGGUGGCGAAGGCGGGUCUCUGGGCCGUAACUGACGCUGAGGAGCGAAAGCGUGGGGAGCGAACAGG